rnacentral:rRNA from 1 species
AUGAAGUUGGAUUCGCUAGUAAUCGCGCAUCAGCCAUGGCGCGGUGAAUACGUUCCCGGGCCUUGUACACACCGCCCGUCAAGCCAUGGGAGCCGGGGGUGCCUGAAGUUCGUGACCGCAAGGAGCGACCUAGGGCAAAACUGGUGACUGGGGCUAAGUCGUAACAAGGUAAC